rnacentral:rRNA from 1 species
AACGAACGCUGGCGGCAUGCCUAACACAUGCAAGUCGAACGAGACCUUCGUGUCUAGUGGCGCACGGGUGCGUAACGCGUGGUAACCUGCCCUUAGGUUCGGUAUAACUCCCCGAAAGGUGUCCUCAUACCGGAUAAUGUCUUCGGACCAAAGAUUUAUCGCCUUGGGAUGGGCCCGCGUUGGAUUAGCUAGUUGGUAGGGUAAAAGCCUAUCAAGGCGACGAUGCAUAGCUGGUCUGAGAGGAUGACCAGCCACACUGGGAAUGAGACACGGCCCAGACUCCUACGGGGGGCAGCAGUGGGGAAUAUUGGACACUGGGCGAAAGCGUGAUCCAGCAAUGCCGCGUGAGUGAUGAAGGCCUUAGGGUUGUAAAGCUCUUUUAGCCGGGAUGAUAAUGACAGUACCGGGAGAAUAAGCACCGGCUAACUACGUG